GUUUGGACAGAGAAGUUCAAUCAUGCAGCAAAAGCAAGUGCUGAGAAGAAUCCCCGAAAUCACAAGAGAUAUGCUUUCUCUCCGUACUUUGCGGAAAAGCUUGCUGUAGAAACCUCUACUUUUGACCCUGCCUCUGUCAUGAAAGAGUUCAAAAUUGCAUGUAGCAAAUUCAAAAUUCUGAAAGAUGACAUGCUUUACCUGCCCAUUGUACAAGCCGAUCA